GACGAACGCUGGCGGCGUGCUUAACACAUGCAAGUCGAACGGUAAGGCCCUUCGGGGUACACGAGUGGCGAACGGGUGAGUAACACGUGGGUGAUCUGCCCUGCACUUCGGGAUAAGCCUGGGAAACUGGGUCUAAUACCGGAUAGGACCACUGCCUGCAUGGGUGGUGGUGGAAAGCUUUUGCGGUGUGGGAUGGGCCCGCGGCCUAUCAGCUUGUUGGUGGGGUGAUGGCCUCCCAAGGCGACGACGGGUAGCCGGCCUGAGAGGGGAACCAGCCACACUGGGACUGAGAUACGGCCCAGACGCCUACGGGAGGCAGCGGUGGGGAAUACUGCACAAUGGGCGCGAGCCUGAUGCAGCGACGCCGCGUGAGGGAUGACGGCCUUCGGGUUGUAAACCUCUUUCAGCACCGACGAAGCGCAAGUGACGGUAGGUGCAGAAGAAGGACCGGCCAACUACGUGCCAGCCGCCGCCGUAA
rnacentral:rRNA from 1 species